UGUGAAUGUUUUUUGUUUGUUUAAUUUGUGUACAAAGAUUUACAGACAAGUAAAAAAUGAGCCUUGUUUUGUAGCACAGAGUUCACUGAUCAUUUUGAAUUUUGAUACAUCUAAAGGAAACAUG